AGCAGUGGCGGACGGGUGAGUAACGCGUAGGUAUCUAUCCAUGGGUGGGGGAUAACGGCGGGAAACUGCUGCUAAUACCGCAUGAUGCCCGAGGGCCAAAGGCGCAAGUCGCCUGUGGAGGAGCCUGCGUCCGAUUAGCUUGUUGGUGGGGUAACUGCCUACCAAGGCUACGAUCGGUAGCUGGUCUGAGAGGAUGAUCAGCCACACUGGGACUGAGACACGGCCCAGACUCCUACGGGAGGCAGCAGUGGGGAAUAUUGGACAAUGGGCGAAAGCCUGAUCCAGCAAUGCCGCGUGGAUGAAGAAGGUCUUCGGAUUGUAAAGUCCUUUCGGCGGGGACGAUAAUGACGGUACCCGCAGAAGAAGCCCCGGCUAACUUCGUGCCAGCAGCCGCGGUAAUACGUAGGGUGCAAGCGUUGUCCGGAAUUAUUGGGCGUAAAGAGCUCGUAGGCGG
rnacentral:rRNA from 1 species